AAUGAACGCUGGCGGCAGGCCUAACACAUGCAAGUCGAACGGAUCCUUCGGGAUUAGUGGCGGACGGGUGAGUAACGCGUGGGAACAUACCCUUUGGUACGGAAUAGCCUCGGGAAACUGGGAGUAAUACCGUAUGUGGUCGAGAGACGAAAGAUUUAUCGCCAAAGGAUUGGCCCGCGUUGGAUUAGGUAGUUGGUGGGGUAAUGGCCUACCAAGCCGACGAUCCAUAGCUGGUUUGAGAGGAUGAUCAGCCACACUGGGACUGAGACACGGACCAGACUCCUACGGGAGGCAGCAGUGGGGAAUCUUAGACAAUGGGGGAAACCCUGAUCUAGCCAUGCCGCGUGAUCGAUGAAGGCCUUAGGGCUGUAAAGAUCUUUCAGGUGGGAAGAUAAUGACUGUACCACCAGAAGAAGCCCCGGCUAACUCCGUGACAGCCGCCGCGGUAAAAC
rnacentral:rRNA from 1 species